rnacentral:rRNA from 1 species
ACGGGUGAGUAACACGUGAGUAACCUGCCCCCUGCUCCUGGAUAACUGCUUGAAAGGGCGGCUAAUACGGGUUGUGCCGGCUGGUCCGCAUGGGCCUGGUCGGGAUAGUUUCAUCUUCGAGUGUUUCGGUGGGGGAUGGGCUCGCGGCCUAUCAGCUUGUUGGUGGGGUGAUGGCCCACCAAGGCGGUGACGGGUAGCCGGCCUGAGAGGGUGGGCGGCCACACUGGGACUGAGACACGGCCCAGACUCCUGCGGGAGGCAGCAGUGGGGGGUAUUGCACAAUGGGCGGAAGCCUGAUGCAGCGACGUCGCGUGAGGGAUGGAGGCCUUCGGGUUGUGAACCUCUUUCUCCGGUGGUGAAGGCCCUGUCCGUUGCGGCGGGGUUGACGGUAGCCGGGUAUGAAGCGCCGGCUAACUACGUGCCAGCAGCCGCGGUAAUACGUAGGGCGCGAGCGUUGUCCGGAAUUAUUGGGCGUGAAGGGCUUGUAGGCGGCCGGUCGCGUCCGCCGUGAAAUUCUCCGGCUCAACCGGGGGCUUGCGGUGGGUACGGGCCGGCUGGAGUGCGGUAGGGGAGGCUGGAACUCCUGGUGUAGCGGUGGAAUGCGCAGAUAUCAGAGGAACACCGGUGGCGAAGGCGGGUCUCUGGGCCGUUACUGACGCUGAGGAGCGAAAGCGUGGGGAGCGAACAGGAUUAGAUACCCUGGUAGUCCA